AAUCAACGCUGGCGGCGUGCCUCAGACAUGCAAGUCGAACGCGAAAGUUCCCUUCGGGGGAGUGAGUAGAGUGGCGCACGGGUGAGUAACACGUAGGUAAUCUACCUUUGGAUGGGGAAGUAACAACCGGAAACGGUUAGCUAAUACCGCAUAAUGCAGCGGCACCUAAUGGUGACAGUUGUUAAAGCGGGGGAGUCGAAAGACCUCGCGUCUGAAGAGGAGCCUGCGGCGGAUUAGCUAGUUGGUAAGGUAACGGCUUACCAAGGCGACGAUCCGUAGCCGGCCUGAGAGGGCGGUCGGCCACACUGACACUGACAUACGGGUCAGACUCCUACGGGAGGCAGCAGUCGGGAAUUUUGGGCAAUGGGCGAAAGCCUGACCCAGCAACGCCG
rnacentral:rRNA from 1 species